AUUGAACGCUGGCGGCAGGCCUAACACAUGCAAGUCGAGCGAGCGGCGGACGGGUGAGGAAUGUAUGGGGACUGCCCGAUAGAGGGGGAUCACUACUGGAAACGGUAGCUAAUACCGAAUACUAUCGGAUAACCCAUAUGGGAUUAGCUAGUAGGUGAGGUAAUGGCUCACCUAGGCGACGAUCCCUAGCUGGUCUGAGAGGAUGAUCAGCCACACUGGAGCUGAGAGACGGCCCAGACUCCCACGGAGGCAGCAGUGGGGAAUAUUGCACAAUGGGCGCAAGCCUGAUACAGCCCUGCCGCUUGUAGGAAGAAGGCCCUAGGUUUGUAAAGUACUUUCAGUCGGGAGGCGUUACCGACAGAAGAAGCACCGGGGAACUCCGUGUCAGCAGCCGCGGUAAUUC
rnacentral:rRNA from 1 species